GACGAACGCUGGCGGCGUGCUUAACACAUGCAAGUCGAACGAAGUGGCGAACGGGUGAGAAAUACGUGGGUAACUUGCCCUCCUUAUUGGGAUAAGCCUUGGAAACGGGGACUAAUACCGAAUAAAGGGGGAUGGGCUCGGGGCCUAUCAGCUUGUUGGUGGGGUGAUGGCCUACCAAGGCGGUGACGGGUAGCCGGCCUGAGAGGGUGUCCGGACACAUUUGGACUGAGAUACGGCCCAGCCUCCUACGGGAGGCAGCAGUGGGGGAUAUUGCACAAUGGAGGGAACUCUGAUGCAGCGAGUCCGGGUGAACGAAGAAGGCUUUCGAGUCGUAAAGUUCUUUUGGUACCAUAAGAAAAAGCCCCGGCUAACUACGUGCCAGCAGCCGCGGUAAUAC
rnacentral:rRNA from 1 species